rnacentral:pre_miRNA from 1 species
AUUUGAUGAUGAUGGUGAUGAUGAUGGUGAUGAUGAUGGUGAUGAAUACAGUUAUCAAGUAAUAUUUGAGGAUAUAAUUGCUGCUUAUGUUUCUUGUUAUGGGCCCGCUUAAGCCACCACCACCACCAUCAUCAUCAUCAUCAUCAUCAUCAUCAUCAUCAUCAUCA